rnacentral:rRNA from 1 species
UACGUAGGGAGCAAGCGUUGUCCGGAAUCAUUGGGCGUAAAGAGCGCGUAGGUGGCUUCGUAAGUCCGUUGUGAAAGUCAAAGGCUCAACCUUUGAAAGCCGAUGGAUACUGCGGAGCUAGAGUACGGAAGAGGCGAGUGGAAUUCCUGGUGUAGCGGUGGAAUGCGCAGAUAUCAGGAGGAACACCAAUAGCGAAGGCAGCUCGCUGGGACGGUACUGACGCUAAGGCGCGAAAGCGUGGGUAGCAAACAGG